AACGAACGCUGGCGGCAGGCUUAACACAUGCAAGUCGAGCGCUCGUAGCAAUACGAGAGCGGCAGACGGGUGAGUAACGCGUGGGAACAUACCCUUAGGUUCGGAAUAACUCAGGGAAACUUGAGCUAAUACCGGAUAUCGUCGAGAGGCGAAAGAUUUAUCGCCUAGGGAUUGGCCCGCGUUCGAUUAGCUAGUUGGUGAGGUAAUGGCUCACCAAGGCGACGAUCGAUAGCUGGUCUGAGAGGAUGAUCAGCCACAUUGGGACUGAGACACGGCCCAAACUCCUACGGGAGGCAGCAGUGGGGAAUAUUGGACAAUGGGCGCAAGCCUGAUCCAGCCAUGCCGCGUGAGUGAUGAAGGCCUUAGGGUUGUAAAGCUCUUUCACCCACGACGAUAAUGRCGGUAGUGGGAGAAGAAGC
rnacentral:rRNA from 1 species